AUGGCGAACUCUUCUAGACUCCAGCCUUCUUCAUUUCUCCCCCUCACCCAUUCACCCUUCGACCUUCAUCCACCCAUAACUCCCACACAAAAUAAACAGAGCCCCUGAUUUGCCCCACGCUACUGUGCUGGUCACUGGUUUCCACCACCUAGUCACUAAUCACCAUCAUGCCUGCUAAAAUGAACACUUCAAAAGAAACACUUUUGGAAGACUCUAACAUGGAUAAUGCUUAAGAUGCAGCACAAGGGCAAAGCAUUCCUCCACUUCCACCCAAUAUAAGUACAAAAUCGAGUAAUAGUGAACCUAGUGGUGGAUGUAGAACUACGUCAAUGGUUUGAGAUCACUUCACAAGAAUACCAAAAAGUGAUCCAAGUAAACUUAAGGCUACAUGUAAUUAUUGUAGUGCCUAUUAUACAUGUGAUACGAAGGUGAACCGUACAAAAUCUAUGAAGUAUCACAUUGAACAUCAAUUUAAGAGAUGUCUAUUUAAUAGUAUGGAUAAGUCCUGAACUACCUUGGGUUGGAAGGUCAAGGAUGGAGGAAGUAGUAGUGGGGGACUUGUUCUUAUAGCCUUUAGUGUUGAGGCUUGCAGACAAGACCUAACAGAAAUAAUUAUACUUGAUGAGUUGUUAUUUAAGUUUAUUGAAGGGGAGAGUUUUAAAAUAUUUAUAUUUGUUGUUCAACUUAAGUGGGUAUGGACCUCGUCUCGUGCUACGAUUGCCAAUGAUUGUUAGUGUCUAUUUGACAACAAAAAAAUAAGUGAAGAAGUACUCUUCAAGGGCAACAGAUUUCCAUUACCACGGAUUCAUAGAUAUAUGUGCAAAACCUAAACUACAUGUGUCUUAUUGCACAUUUCAUUAAUGAUGAUUGGAAACUACAUAAGAAGAUCCUCUUUUUUGGUUUAGUUGAAUAUCACAAGAGUGAUACCCUUGGUAAGCCUAUAGAGAUGUGCUUGAUUGAUUGAGAGUGGCCAAAAAUACUUGCAAUCACUCUUGAUAAUAAAAAUUCGAACAAUAGAGCAGUGUGAAAAAGAGAUGAUACUAUUUUGGAACAUGAAUUCUUGGAUGUGAGAUGUUGUGCCAACAUCUUAAUCUUAAUUGUUUGUGAGGGAUUGAAAGAAUAUGAUGAGUCUAUUGCCAAUGUGAGAGGUGUUAUGAAAUAUAUUAAAUCCUCUCUACAAAGAUGGAGUGCAUUUAAGUUGUGUAUAUAAUUUGAAGACAUUAUGUGCAAAAGUUAUGUAUGCCUAGAUGUGCCAACUAGGUGAAACUCCAUCUGUCUUAUGUUGGAGAGGGUUAAAGAUUUUGGAAAGCCUUUUGAACGGCUAGAGUAAGAAUAUAUGGGGUUCCCAUCUAGUAUUGGAGAUGAGAGUGAUGAUGAUGGAAUGAGAAAGGAGAACAUCAAAGAAGUUAGAGCCUCCCAACAAGGAUGAUUGGGAAAAAGUAAGAUUGUUUGUGAGAUUUUUUAGCCAAUUUCAUGAUGCAACUUUACAAUUUUCGGGUUGUCAAUAUGUAACUUGUGACUCUUUUUUUUUUUUAUAGAAUUAGUUACAACUCAAGAUACAAUUGACAUGGAGUGUGAAGAAGUAUGACAUGUGGUAAGGUUAAUAGCAAUAAAUAUUUGACAAAUAUUAGGAUAAAUUUGAUAAUAUGAAUAUGUUGUUGUAUGUUGGACUUA